CCACCCAAACUGGUGUACAUCUUCGAAAGUUUGAAAUAGAGGAGAGAGAAUAUGAGGCAAAGUAGGGCUGCCCUUCCCAAUUUCAAAAUCGUUAAUCCGUCCUCCGUCAGUCACCGCCGUAACACCAUCCUACUGAUCGCCGCAUCCAACCUGCGCCAGCGGCGCGGAAAUGAACCGUGCCGCAGACAAUGACGGCGGCGAAGAUGACGACGAAGCCGAUCCUCCUUACUGCCUCUCCACGACCCUCACGCCGCUUCUCCAACCGCCAUCGCCGCCAUGGCCGCAUCGCUGCAGCAGCCAUCGCCUCCUUCCUCUCUCUCCUUGUCGCCUCAGCCGCCUGGUUUUCCCUAGUCUUCGACCCCAGCCACCGCUUCGCCAUCAACCAUUUCCGCACCUGGGAUUCCUCAAUCUCUGCCACCCACUCCCCUCCUCUUACCCCCUCUCAUUCCCCUUCUCCUCCCCCUCCCCAGAAACCCGCCUCUUUAACCCCCUCUCCCAAUCCCAACUCUAGUUCCUUCUCGCCGCUCUCCUUAAACCAUAUUGUCUUCGGCAUCGCCGGCUCCGCCAACCUCUGGCCGCGCCGGCGAGAGUUUAUACGCCUAUGGUGGCGGCCUGGGGUGAUGCGCGGCCACAUCUGGCUCGACGAUCGCGUGCGGCUGUCGCGGAAUGCUUCGGCCUCCCUCCCGCCUGUCCGCGUGUCCGAUGAUAUAUCGCGCUUCCGAUACACGAAUCCUACCGGACACCCCUCUGGCCUUCGCAUUGCCCGAAUCAUAUCGGAGACCUUCCGGCUUGGGCACCGCGACGUGCGGUGGUUCAUGCUCUGCGAUGACGAUACCAUUGUGAGUCCCGAUAACCUCGUGGCCGUUCUCUCCAAGUAUGAUUGGAGGGAAAUGGUGUAUGUUGGAGGACCAUCGGAGAGUCACUCGGCCAAUAUUUACUUUAGCCAUGCAAUGGCUUUUGGGGGCGGGGGGAUUGCGAUCAGCUAUCCUCUUGCCGAGGCUCUUGCUGGGAUGCAGGAUGAUUGCCUUGAGAGGUAUCCGAAGUUAUAUGGCAGUGAUGAUCGGCUUCAUGCUUGUAUCUCUGAACUUGGUGUUCCUUUAAGCCGUGAGUACGGAUUCCACCAGUGGGAUAUUAGGGGAAAUGCGCAUGGUAUCUUGGCUUCUCAUCCUGUUACUCCAUUCAUAUCCAUACACCAUGUUGAAGCUGUGGACCCUCUUUACCCUGGUUUAGGCCAUCUAGAGAGCUUGAAACUUUUCACCAAGGCAUCACGGGUGAAUCCCAGAAGCUUCUUGCAGCGUGCUAUUUGUUAUGACAGAGAGAAAAGGUUAACAUUUGCUGUUUCAUUGGGAUAUGUUGUACAAGUGUUCCCUAACAUUGUACUCCCGAGAGAGCUGGAGCGCUCUGAGCUGACUUACACUGCUUGGAAUAGAGCUGGUCACCGAUUCGAAUUUGAUUUUGACACCAAGGAUCCAUAUAGAUCUGUUUGCAAAAAAUCAAUUCAGUUUUUUCUGAAAAAUGUUUUUGAAGAUGGAAGUGUCUCUGUUAGUACUUACACACGGUCUAAUCAAGGCAAUGAUCUGAAAAGUAAAGUCUUUUGCUUUCCCCAUUCACCUCCACUGCCUCAUGUGGAUGAAAUUCGGAUUUUGGGGAAUCCAUUGAGUGACAACUGGCAUUUGGUGCCAAGGCGUCUAUGUUGCAAAGUUGAUCAAACUGUUAAUCGAACUCUGUGGUUAAAUGUAAGGCAGUGUGAAAGGAGAGAGCUUGGAUCAGUUUCUGAUUCUCUAUUACCCUAAAGGAUGCAAAAUCUUGGGGUUUGCUCCUUGUAUAUGGAUUCCACUUUUAUCACAACAAUAUGCACCAAGGGGAGUUGACUGACAUGGCUGUAUUAUAUGGAGGGUGCUUUGCCGGCGAUUGAAAGGUCCCUGGUUUGAUAGAAAAAUGCCUUCUUAAUUUCAAGAAUCCUCACCUAAAAGAAAUAACAAGGGCAGAAGUAGAUGACUGCUUACGAGAAAAAAAAAAAAAUUUUAAAGGGAGUAAUGGGAACAGAGAACUUGAAGAUGAUGGCUGGAAUCUUUACUGUGUUUCAUACAGCUUAGGGGAACUACUGGAGGACCAGGUAGAAUUUAAGGAGGCGUUCCAGUCAACCCGCGGGCUGGAAUUUUGAUCCAGAACUGCAAGUUGUUUGUUGUCUGUUUCAGAUAUGUCCCGGAGGAGCAGCUGGAGGACAUGCACCCAGAUUUGGACAGCUAGAAUGCAUUCCAACAAUGAAGACGGAGUUCUGCUUUCUAAAGUAAGGAAGUUAAUAGUUAAUUAACCAUGUCACUGUGAUUGCAUCAUGUUAUAUACUACGAUGAUGAACAUAAUCUCAUUUCUGUGUGUUGCCUUGAGUACAAUGAACUUGAAUCAAACACUUUGGUGGGUAAGAGCA